CAGCCGCCACGGUAAUACGUAGGUGGCAAGCGUUGUCCGGAAUUAUUGGGCGUAAAGGGCUCGCAGGCGGUUUCUUAAGUCCGAUGUGAAAGCCCCCGGCUCAACCGUGGAGGGUCAUUGGAAACUGUUAAACUUGAGUGCAGGAGAGAAAAGUGGAAUUCCUAGUGUAGCGGUGAAAUGCGUAGAGAUUAGGAGGAACACCAGUGGCGAAGGCGGCUUUUUGGCCUGUAACUGACACUGAGGCGCGAAAGCGUGGGGAGCAAACAGGAUUAGAGACCCCAGUAGUCCCUGUCUCUUAUAC
rnacentral:rRNA from 1 species